rnacentral:rRNA from 1 species
CAUGUCCUUUUGAUUAUAAUUUAAGGUCUAAUCUGCUCAAUGAAGAUUUAAAUAGCCGCGGUAUUUUGACCGUGCAAAGGUAGCAUAAUAAUUAGCUUUUUGAUUGAGAGCUGGAAUGAAUGAUUGGACGAGAAAGCUACUGUCUCUUUCUUAAAAAUUGAAUUUAACUUUUUAGUGAAAAGGCUAAAAUUUUAAUUAAAGACGAGAAGACCCUAUAGAGUUUAAUUUUCUUUAUUAUACUUUUUGUUUUGGUAUUAAUUUAAUAGUUUAAAAAUAAAAUUUAAUUGGGGUGAUUAAGAGACUUGAAUAACUCUCUUAGCUUAUAAUCAUUGAUUUGUGAAUUUUGAUUCUAAAUUUAUUUAAUUUUAAAACAAAUUACCUUAGGGAUAACAGCGUAAUUUUACUUUAGAGUUCUUAUUGCAAGUAGAGUUUGCGACCUCGAUGUUGGAUUAAAAUUAAUUAUUGGCGCAGUAGUUAAA